rnacentral:rRNA from 1 species
AUUGAACGCUGGCGGCGUGCUUAACACAUGCAAGUCGAUCGGUAACGAAGGUGUAGCAAUACAUGCUGACGAGAGGCGGACGGGUGAGUAAUGCUUGGGAAUCUGCCUAUUAGUGGGGGACGAACCCGGGGAAACGUCGGGCUAAUACCGCAUACGCUCUACGGAGGAAAGCCGGGGACCGCAAGGCCUGGCGCUAAUAGAUGAGCCCAAGUCGGAUUAGCUAGUUGGUAGGGUAACGGCCACCAAGGCGACAAUCCGUAGCUGGUCUGAGAGGACGACCAGCCACACCGGAACUGAGACACGGUCCGGACUCCUACGGGAGGCAGCAGUGGGGAAUAUUGGACAAUGGGGGCAACCCUGAUCCAGCGACGCCGCGUGGGUGAAGAA